ACACGUGAUAAAAACUAAAAAGAAAAUACACGGAGAGAGAGAGAGGAUCAGAGGAGUAAGAAAAAGCUAGAAAUGAGGGAUAGGAAAAACAGAGGGGUUUGGUUAAGAAGAAGAGAGAUGUCACCGGCGAUUAAGAAGAAGACUUCGCCGGUGAAGGAGACAGAGAUGGCGGCAGAGUCUCAGAUCACUGGCAAGGAGUAAGGAGGAGCUCGCCGGUGAUGGUGACAGUGACGACCCAGAGGACGACGGUGAGAAGAAAGAAGAGGUGACGAAGAAGAAGGCAGAUUUUCUGCUCUGUUUCUGGCGAACAGCAGAGAUGAAGAACGAGAAAUCAGAGACAACGCCGUCUGUGCAUGCAAGCUUCUGGUCACAGAAAAGAGAAAGAGAUGACGGUGAUGGUGGUUGAAGCGGCUAAGAAGAAGAAGAAUGGCAGAAGUCAGAGGAGCGGCGCAGAGAAGUGAGAGAACGGCCGUGGUGCUGCUGCAUGCAGAAAAACCGUUCGGUAAAGAGAGAUCAGAGCAGAAACACAGACGACGCUGCUGAUGGAGGUUCUGUCUCGGUGAAGAAAAAGGUUGAGGAUAUGUUGGUGUUUGAGUGAUGGUUGAUGGCUGUUUGGUACAAGGUAGUGGUGAACAGUUUCAGGUAUUUUGUUUCUGUAUUAGUGAUGGCCGGAUGUCAAUUGGUGUAUGAUGUAUAUGGUUGUGUUUGGCUGAAGUUGUGGAUUUUAAUUUGGGUGCGUGGAUCUGAAACUUUUUAUGGUUUGGGUGGUUUUGCUGUUUGAUUGGUUUUGGGUCGCGUAUGGACUGUGAAGGAUGCCGAUGAUGAUGCAGAUUUUUUUUUUUUAACAGCAGUAAAACAAACCAGUGAAAGAAAUUUUUGUUUGUACAAAUUAAAUAUAUCUAAGUA